rnacentral:rRNA from 1 species
CCUACGGGAGACUGCAGUGGGGAAUAUUGCACAAUGGGGGAAACCCUGAUGCAGCGACGCCGCGUGAGUGAAGAAGUAUCUCGGUACGUAAAGCUCUAUCGGCAGGAAAGAAAAUGACGGUACCUGACUAAGAAGCCCCGGCUAACUACGUGCCAGCAGCCGCGGUAAUACGUAGGGGGCAAGCGUUAUCCGGAUUUACUGGGUGUAAAGGGAGCGUAGACGGCGCUGCAAGUCCGGAGUGAAAGCCCAUGGCUUAACCAUGGUACUGCUCUGGAAACUGUAGAGCUUGAGUGCGGGAGGGGCAGGCGGAAUUCCUAGUGUAGCGGUGAAAUGCGUAGAUAUUAGGAGGAACACCGGCGGCGAAGGCGGCCUGCUGGACCGUAACUGACGUUGAGGCUCGAAAGCGUGGGGAGCAAACAGGAUUAGAUACCCCAGUAGUC